CCUACGGGAGGCAGCAGUGGGGAAUCUUGCGCAAUGGGCGAAAGCCUGACGCAGCCAUGCCGCGUGAAUGAUGAAGGUCUUAGGAUUGUAAAAUUCUUUCACCGAGGACGAUAAUGACGGUACUCGGAGAAGAAGCCCCGGCUAACUUCGUGCCAGCAGCCGCGGUAAUACGAAGGGGGCUAGCGUUGCUCGGAAUUACUGGGCGUAAAGGGAGCGUAGGCGGAUAGUUUAGUCAGAGGUGAAAGCCCAGGGCUCAACCUUGGAAUUGCCUUUGAUACUGGGUGUCUUGAGUGCGGAAGAGGUAUGUGGAACUCCGAGUGUAGAGGUGAAAUUCGUAGAUAUUCGGAAGAACACCAGUGGCGAAGGCGACAUACUGGUCCGUUACUGACGCUGAGGCUCGAAAGCGUGGGGAGCAAACAGGAUUAGAUACCCUGGUAG
rnacentral:rRNA from 1 species